AUUAAAAUGUCUUUUACUAAGGUUUUUAAAAAGUUACUGAGAAGUCUUGUUCUCAAGUUGCUCAGACGGAGCCAGGCACUAACUGCCAGAUCGAUGCUGUUAACACAAAAGCUGCUGUGCACAGUGUGUUAGGGAGGGAGAGGUUACCUCCCGCAGGAGUGGGGAGGGGAGAUGAGCAGACAAAUAGCCAGCCCAGCAGCCACAGAAACACUACUCGUGACUUCCGUGGGCCAUCAGAGAACCUCAGAGCUGGCAAGAAGCUUAGGAACCCCGGGUAUCCCACAUUUCCCCAUUCUCAUUCUCAUUUUCCAGAUCAAAUCGGAGGCCGAGAUAGGAAAAGUGACUUGUCUAAGAUGCCGGGUCUCAUAUCCUGCUUCUCCAGCCCUUCUGUGUCGUCUCCGGGGCACUGGGCCCACACAGUUCCUGCCUCGACCCCUUUGCGUGGCCAAGCUAUGUACAGCUGGGGAGGCCCAAGCCGUCACAGAGGAGAGCCCAGAGGAUGCACGGGUCAAGGCUCUGGCGAACCCACCUCUGAAGUGGACUCCUGAUGAAGCUGAUUAUAAAUUAAAUCCGUUUCUUCCAUGCAACCCGUGUGCAGCCUCCUUGAGAGACAGGUGUUUUUGACAGCCCCAGCAAAGCCCUCCUACUGCAAGAAAACCACUCUUCCCUGGGGCUGAGGAUGGCAACCAGGAGAAUAAUGAAAACGAUCAAAGAGACAGAGAAGUGGAGGCCUUCCAUUGGUACGACGUUCCAUUGUUUGCAAUGCUCUCGCACAUUCCGACUCUCACUUUAGCUUACUAACAACCCUGGGAGCUCAUUAUGAUCAUUCUUUUCAGCUUCUGGUUUAAAGAAGAGGAAGCCGGGCUUCCGGGGUAAGUGACUUCGUCCAAAGACACACAACAAGGGAGUGGCUGAGGCAGGAUGAACGAUGUCUUCCAAUGGCAACUCCAGGCUGGAUUCUCAGAACGAGGAGACCAAGUAGUUGCCCUUUCCUCUCUGGGGUCCCAGAUCGGGGAAACAUUGUCUAGAUGAGUAAAUGGAUGGAUGUUCAGGAGUUGAUACUCAGCAGUGUUUCUGGAAAUGUCUGAGAAGAGAGGGGAGAGAGAAAUGAAAAAGGGCCUUUCUCAGUUCCAAAUAUAGAUGCAGACAGUGGUGGAGGAACCCAUGUACACGUGCCCUGGGACGUCCAUAUAUCGGCCCCCAGUCCUUGCCUCCAGCAUCACUGCCAAGGAUGUCUACAUGAUGUCAGAAAGGUGCCGCUCUCCCAGAUGGAGCACCUAUCCCUUUAAGGCCAGCAGGAAGGCAAAAUGCCGUGGGAGGAGGAAGAAAGGCCUCUUCAGCCCUGAGAAGCCCAAGGGAAGCCAGCUGCCCGCCACUCCCCACAACCUAAAGAGAGGGCCACCCACCUGCCACCCACCUAUCAGAUCUGCAUUAUGACCUCAUUUGGUUCCAAGUUACCUCAGGGCCCGGGGUAGGAGCAGAAGACGAGCUGGUCAUUUUUGGAUUGAUCUGGCUGCCUGGCGAUACCUAGUAGACGGUCAAUGAUUGCUGAUGAAUGAAGGCAUGCAUGAAUGGGGGAAGGCGGGGGGGGGCCACUGCCCCCCAACCACACACUCCCCUCCUCCAUCUGCUUCAGCCUCCCUCCCGUGUAGCAUCCUGGCCUCCUGCUGUCUUCUCCUCUGUCUCCUGGCCACAGCUCUGUGGCCUCGGACUUACCUCCAGUGCUCUCCGUAAGUCUUUCCUCCACUGUCCCAGGGCCUCCGUGCAGCUGUGAACGGCAGUGAGGACUUGGUCAGCACAGGUGCCUGUGUCAUCCGUCCAUAAGCUCGGGAAACUAAUGCCCUUGGGGGCAAUGCUCAACCAACGGUAGAGGGGCCAGUGGAUAAGUGCACACCCUCAGGUGGAAGGUUCUGUGUUCUCCCAGAUGGUCUCAAUGGAGUCCAGCCCAGUUCCCCGUAGCAGUGUCCUCCCUAACGCACCCUCUGUCCACCACUUUCCCGGGGGCCUCCCACCUAUCCUACCUAUCAUAAGACCCCUGGGAGGGUUCUCCGUGCCCCCGGCCCUCUGCUGUUUCCUUGGCUCCUGUCCACAGAACGUCUUUCGUUUCUACCCUGCUGAGGGAAAUUCUGCAGCCUGCUGUCCACAGAGGGCAUAGCAACCAUAGAGUUGGCACAGCCAGAGGACUGACUCCAUACCGUGGCCUGGGCUAUGCCUUUAUAGACCUUUCCAAGCCUCACCUCUGGGGUAUGCAUUACUAUUCCCAUUUUAUAGAUGUGCACAGCAAGGUUCGGAAGAAUAUGACACAGGUCACAAUAAGAGAGAAGCCCAGAGCCAUCAGAGGUCUUACCUUGGCUUACAUAGCACAGUAGGCCUGGCCCCAGAACAGCAGUGACCCCCAGAACCGGUGAGGAGACACACGGAGCCCUGAGAUUGGACCCCCAUCACCCCCUGGCCGAGGGACACAGAACAAAGGCUAAAGGGUGGGUGAGAGCCUAGGGGUGCAGGAAAAGCAAGAUUAGAGCACAGGCGAGCAGGCUGAGGGGCUGAGAAACAGGGCUCAAAGGUCCAGACAGCCAAGUGCACAGGGCCCUGCAUGUUGGUAUAAGAAAGGAGGAUUUUUUUUCCCCCAGAGAGCAACCUGGAGCUUGUAAAGUCUCUGAGACAAGGGUCUAAACAAAUUUCCACUUGAGAGAGCUUCCUCAGGCUGGGUGGGGUCAGAGUGGCUUGGCCAAUUGUCCAGGAAGGAGACAAUCAAGGUUGGAGGCAGGGCAGGUGACAUGGGGAGCCUGGCCAAGGAGGGGAGACACCAAGAGAACUGGAGGCGAGGAAGAGGGCAGAGUCGAGGACAGCCUCAGGACUGGCUCCUUGUCCCCACCAGAGAAGUCAAGACUAGCCCCUAGUCUGGACAGCCUCUCCACUCCUCUCCACUCACUCUGCCUGCGGCGUGCUUGGGAGCCUCUGGGAAGGGGUGAGGUUCCCUCGAGCCCCAUCCUGGGAGUCUGCUGGGCCAUCUCUGCCCCCUGAAACCGUGAAAUAUUUACAGCCCGCCGAGCAGGGGAAGUGAGGGGGAGCGAGCACAUGAAUUAUUGACAACUUCACUUUUAUCCUGGCCCAGGCUGCUGGGAUGAGCACAGACCCAGGGGAGCCCCGAGGCAAUCUAUGGGCAUUAAGCAGAGUUUUUGAGGAAGCCAGGGGUAGAGGCUCCUGACUGUCAGGGGAACCAGAGGUGGCCAGAGUAGAGCAGCCACUGUCCCAGCCCUACGGGGAGCCCAGUGUCGAGGAGAGGGUAGUGAGAAGAGUGAUUGGCAAGGAGCCCAGCAUCAUCGAGCCUGGCCUGUGGCCCUCACUCCUCACUGGUUGCCUCCCAGACACCCAGGGAUUUGGCCUGUCGGGGCCUCACCCCUACAAGCUGCUCGGAUACCUGUCGUGACAGAGGUCAGCUGCCCCCUCUGAGAUGACUGCGGGGUUGUCCCCAGUCCUGCAGGGUACCAAACCCGGUGACAACCCCUGCGGCAGCCCAGAAGGGCCGGCCUCUUUUGCCCCCACACCGGCUCUGCUGGCCUGCGCCUUCCGCACAAACUUGCACAGAACAUCCCCUAGGAAAAGGCCUCAGGGAGACUGUUCUCUCCUAGCACGUGGGCAGCACCAGCAACCUGCCUUCAAGGGAAGAGCUAGAUCCUGCAGUCAAGGAGUGAGCACUGGAAUAGGAGUCAGAAGACAUGGGUCUGAGUCUCAGCACCACAAGCCAGCCAUGGACCCAAGCCUCAGGUUUCUUGUCUGAGAAAUGGAUAUGAAUAUGGCCUAUCUCACAGGGCUGGUGGGCAUCUCUAGGAGACCUUGUGAGGACAGACUCUGCAGACAGAGGCACUGUUCUUACCCAGACCGGUUCUGCCCCCAUCCCUGGCGGCAGCCAGCGCCUCAACCUUCCCAGACAGCGAAAACCCGACAGCCAGGGUGACAGGCAACCCGGCCGUGUGAUCCGUGUGAUCCUGUCCCAAGACCAGAGGCUUUUUAUAUUUUCACAUUUUGUCCUUCCAGGACAUGUGGUGUUGAGACAAGCAGCCUCCUGCCAGGCUCCCUCCCUCCUUCCUGGCCUGUCUGCACAGGACAGCCUGCGGCCCCCCACACACCAGAAGAGGGAAGGAACCGAGAUGGGGAGGGGGUACACUCUAAAGCCCACGCUGGAAUAGGCAGCAUCUGGGUCGCUGCCCUUCCUCAUCGCUGAGCUGGGUGUGGGGGCUCGUGGGGCUCCCGUGGGCCUCUGAUCUUCCACUGGGAGGCCCCCGAGGCCCUGAGCCCGUGUAAAAGGACAGGAUUCCCGGAAGCCCACAUCCCCCAGCCCCGUGCAGCGGGGAGCCAGCCGGUGUUUCUACUUCUCACUUGCCACCCCCACCUCCCCUCAGCUCAGGGCACUCUGCAACCAGGUUAGCAACCUCAUAUCUUCCAGAGAAGAGAAGGAAGAGAGAAGGAAGAAGAGGUCACUAGGGGUCUGGCUGUGCAGCCAUUUCUAUCACAUGUUCCAGGGGCGCCUGGGUCGGCUCGGGUCAUGAUCUCAUGGUUCGUGGCUUCGAGCCCCGUGUUGGGCUCUGGGCCGACCGCUCAGAGCCUGGAGCCUGCUUCGGGUUCUGUGUCUCCCUCUCUCUCUGCCCCUCUCCCACUCGCAUUCUGUCUCUCUAGCGCACGCGCUCUUUCUCAAAAAUAAAUAAACAUUAAAAAAAAGCUUUUUUAAUGUU
rnacentral:lncRNA from 1 species